rnacentral:rRNA from 1 species
AGUGGGGAAUUUUGGACAAUGGGGGAAACCCUGAUCCAGCCAUGCCGCGUGAGUGCAGAAGGCCUUCGGGUUGUAAAGCUCUUUUGGUCGGGAAGAAAGGGUUUCCUCGAAUAGAGGAGAUCUAUGACGGUACCGGCAGAAUAAGCACCGGCUAACUACGUGCCAGCAGCCGCGGUAAUACGUAGGGUGCGAGCGUUAAUCGGAAUUACUGGGCGUAAAGAGUGCGUAGGCGGUUCUCCAAGUCCGUUGUGAAAGCCCCGGGCUCAACCUGGGAAUGGCAGUGGAAACUAGGGGACUUGAAUCUGGCAGAGGGGGGUGGAAUGCCGCGUGUAGCAGUGAAAUGCGUAGAGAUGCGGCGGAACACCGAUGGCGAAGGCAGCCCCCUGGGCUGAGAUUGACGCUCAGGCACGAAGGCGUGGGGAGCAAACAGGAUUAGAUACCCUGGUAGUCCACGCCCUAAACGAUGGCAACUAGGUGUUGGGGAAGCGAUUUCCUGGUACCGCAGCUAACGCGUGAAGUUUGCCCGCCUGGGGAGUACGGUCGCAAGAUUAAAACUCAAAGGAAUUGACGGGGACCCGCACAAGCGGUGGAUGAUGUGGAUUAAUUUGAUGCAACGCGAAUAAACCUUACCUACCCCU